rnacentral:rRNA from 1 species
GUUGUCACGCCAGUGGCAUUGCCGGGUAGCUACGUUCGGACGGGAUAACCGCUGAAAGCAUCUAAGCGGGAAGCCCCCCUCAAGAUGAGAUCUCACAAAUCUUCUAGAUUUCUAAAGGGCCCUCGUAGACUACGAGGUUGAUAGGCGGGAUGUGUAAGCGCUGUGAGGCGUUGAGCUAACCCGUACUAAUUGCCCGUGCGGCUUGACCAUAUAA